CCUCUGCUCACUUACCAGCCAACUUUCCUCCAAACUCUGCCAUCUGGUUUUUCAUUAUUCUACUAAUAUGGUGAGAACCAAAACACAGAUCUAUCAGCUAUGAGCAGAUCAAUCAUAUUCAUUAAGGAAUAUAUCCAGGCAGUAGUGGCUCAUGCCUUUAAUCCCAGCAUUUGAGAAGCAGAGGCAGGUGAAUCUCUUGAGUUCGAGGCCAACCUGGUCUUCAGAGUGAGUUCCAGGACAACUAGAACUGUUACAUAGAAAAACCCUGUCUCAGGAAACCAAAAGAAGGAGGAGGAGGAACAGAAGGAGGAGGAAAGAGACAUAUCAAAUAAUGAUGUAUAAAUGUAUCACUGUAUCUGGAGUCAUAUGUACCCAGCUUUAUAACCAAUCAUAUGAAAUACUAUGGCUAAAAACCUGGACUUUAUUAUGAAAUCAGUAUCAUAAGCCACCACUUUACUAUGACACUUGAGCUGCCCAUCAUGAACUGGGUGUUACCUGGUUAACCAAUUCAUAAAGUUGGGCACACUCAUACGGUAACAUGCUAUCAUCAAAUUGAGACUUGAAUGCAGGCCAUUGGUCCUGAGCAUGUCCUGAGACUCUUAAAAUAAGUCACAUGAAGAAACUGCAGUGACCAGAGGUCCCUGUUUCUGCUACCUGGCCUUCUCUCUCCCAGCCUGCACUGAUGGCUUUUUGGAAGGUUCCUUAAGAUCAUACAAGGAAGAGAAAGCAAAGUCUGGACACAGGUGGCUCUGUACAGUACUCUAACACCUUAACUGGACUGGAUAGAGACAUCCCUACAGAAAAGAAAAAGGAAGUCCUCUCAGUGGCAGAACUUAGAACACCAUACCUGAGGCGUGAGCCUUAAAAUGUUGGCAUUGCAUGUGAAUGCUCCCCAGUGGGUAACCUCCAAGAAAUGUUUUAAUAAUCACAGGGACUGGAUGCUCCAUUUGCACAUACUAGGCAGCUGUUUCCCAUGGACUUCUAGCAAUGCCCUACAGUGUUGUUAGGAAAAGAUGAAGACUAUGCAUGGACUUGUAACAUCAUCUACAUUCUGCAAGGCAAUCCUGGCUAUGGCCAUGCUGAGUGCAGUAGAAACUAACACUGAAUGCCUUAUAUGGCCUCAUUCCCUAAGGAGAAUGAAGUCAGCACCUAAUGGCAGGUUGCUUAUACAAUCCUGCUACUACCCAGGAUGUAUGGGUUUUUGUUCCUUCUAGUGUGAAUUCUUGUUCUGGACACAGAUUUUCUUCCCUGCAUGUAAUGCUGCUGAUAAAAUUACCAUCUUUGGACUGCAAAAUACUUUAUCCACUAUCAUGUCUUACACAGUACUGCUUCUGAUCAAAGAACUGGGUUCACAGCAAAAUAAACUUGGUAAAGGUCUCAUGUUCAUGAAAUCCAUGGGUCACAGCAUGUUCCCACCAUCUUGAAUCAGCUGGCUCGACAGAAGGAAGGGUUGCCUUUUGAAGACUGUCCCAGCCCUAUUGAGAUAACACCACUCCAAAAGGUUGGUCAAGGUUCUCCUGAAGGCCUCAUCUGCUUUUAGAAUGUGUGGGAUGUUUGUCCCCUAGUGAUAUAUGUAAUUCCCUGGGUAUGGUUUCCCAGGGUGCUUUUGGAAGAUGGUGGAAACUUCUAGAGGUAAGGCCUACUGGAGUUUUGUAGGUCAUUUGAGUGACAUCCUUGAAAGAGUCUGAGAUAUUAGCCUCUUCCUUGUUCUCUUUUAUAUCCUGGCCAUGAGUAGUUGUAAUCCUGCCAUGGUAUGCUGCUUUGCCACUGGACCAAAGAAAUUAAAUCACCCAAUUUUGGACUGGAAGUUCCAGAAUGAUGAGCAAAAAUACAUUAUUUCUCUUUAUAAGUUAUUUCCUUAUAGUAAUGAAACGCUAACUGAUAUAGCCAUUUCUCUUCUAGUUAGGAUUUGUCGAUCUACAAAUCAAGAAAUGGAAACAGAAAUUGUACCAUUCACUAUUAGCUUGGAUAACCUAAGAGAAAUAGCAUCUGCUUCCUUAUUCUGUGACUUUGUGCUCUUCUGGUACAGAGGUCUUAAUUCAAAGGGGAAGAGUUUUUCUGCUAGGAGAUAAAACAAUCAUUCUAUUGACUUGAAAGUUAAGAGUGCUGCCAGCCCUGUGGGGAUCCCCAAGCCCUAAAUGAAUAAACAGAAAGUAGACUGUAUUGACAGGGGUGGCUGACCCUGGUUACCAAAGGGAAGUUGGACUCCUACACAAAGCAGGUAAGGAAGAAAAUACUUGCCAUAUAGGAAAUCUCUUGUUACUUGUGUUAUUAUUAUUGUGCCCUGUGAUUAUGAUCACUAGAAAAUCUCACUACAAGCAAGACUAUGAAGUGCUGGGUCCCCUCACUAGCUAAAGAACCAAACCAGUACCUGCUGAAGGCAGAAAAGGUCCAGAAUGAGUCAUGGAAGUUAGUAGUUAGACAAAGCCAGCUGUGACCAUAUGACCAGUGAUAGACAUGAGCAUUGUAACUGUCAUAAGUAUCUCCAUGAACUCAUAUGGCUAUGAACAUAUGUUUGUGCAUAUUUAUACACUUCUGUUUUACUCUUUAUUACACUGUCAUGUAACAUGUGUGAAAUUUAUGUCAUAGCAUUAAAGCAUCCUUAAAUAUUUUAAAUGUUUUUCUUUUUAUUGUA
ensembl:lncRNA